CCCUUAGAUGUUCUGGGCCGCACGCGCGCUACACUGACGAAUGCAACGAGCUUAUAACCUUGGCCGAAAGGUCUGGGUAAUCUCCAAAUUUCGUCGUGAUGGGGAUAGAUUAUUGCAAUUAUUAAUCUUCAACGAGGAACGCCUAGUAAGCGCAAGUCAUCAGCUUGCGUUGAUUACGUCCCUGCCCUUUGUACACACCGCCCGUCGCUCCUACCGAUUGAAUGGUCCGGUGAAGCGUUCGGACCGUGGCCUUUGGACGGUUCGCCGUCUGUUGGCUGCGGGAAGUUCGUUAAACCUUAUCAUUUAGAGGAAGGAGAAGUCGUANCA
rnacentral:rRNA from 1 species